UGACCCACAGCCACGACCAAGAUUUCCUAAAGCAGAGCUGUCCAGGAGUUAAAUAUCAACAGUCUAACAUGCACGGAAAGCAAACAAGACAACUUACCCGAGAGGAUAAAGAAGAUGCCGGAAACAAAGGCCAGUAUUGUCCUGUGGGGACGGAUGUGUCCUAUGUUGCUCAGAAUAAACCCAAUGAACAUGAAGAAGAGGCUGACCAGAGGGAACGGCGUGGCUGAGCGAAUCAUUUCUAAGGAAGGGGACAAAGGACCAACCUGUCAGUUCCAGAGGCCCUACUUGCUGGUCGGCAUCCCGGGCACCAGUGGCCCACGUCAGAACUUUGAAGAGACCUACUUAGAACGUUGACUGUGGACUCAGAUGUUAGCUGGGAGUUCAUGGGCAUCACAUAUUCUAUGGUGAAGCAGCGUCCUCGUUCCUCACCUGGGGAGACAAGAGUGAUACACAUUGCUAGGCGCUUCUUGAAUAUGGAUUGGAGCGCCACCAAAAACCUAUCACUUAGGAUCCUGUUGAUGUCCCUGGGGUCCUACCAAGGGAUGGUGUCAGAUCUCAGCUAAGAUUCGAGGCACAGGUAGAUACUGAGACAGCUAGACAAGGACAGAAGCCAUGCGUGACAACGGAGCUGAGCUGCGUACAGGAAGGAAGAGUGGUAGAGACUGGUGCCAGAAGUGGGGUUGCUACCCUGACUCCACAGCACUAGCUGUGCUCUAACCCCUGGCUGUGGGAGAAGUGAUGGAUGUACAGGAAGAGCCCCCUGCUGGCUCACUGGAGGCGCGUGCACGUUCGUGCCACCUCUGCAAGGCAGGUAGCGUAACCCUUCACGGCUUAAGGAAGAAGGGACAAAGGAAACACUGAGUUAUUCUACAACCAAGGGGGUCCUAGGUAGAGCAAUAGUUCUAUGGAAUAUUCUAGAAGACAAAAAGGGAUUCUGGUUAGAAAAAGUAACUUGGGUAGCACUGAAGAAUCACACUGCAUGUUAUAUUAAAGAGUGUUUGGCUUUUGUUUAUUCCAGAAUUAUCCAAGAUUCCUUCAACACAAAACGGCAUCCUAUUCUGCACGACCCACUUUGGGGACCAUGCGGGGAGACCUGCUCUGGCCAUUGCUGGGGAUUAUGCAAGGGGAGAGAUGACCGUGCUUUGAAAAUCUAAAGCGUGGGGCUGGGAGAAGUUCUUAAAUAAGGCAACGAUGGGCUAAGCCCCUUCUUGGGGAGCCGACAGAUCCGAGCUCCUGAAAUACAGCAGCCGUUGGCUGGCAGAGGCUGUGCAGCCAAUUUCCAUGUUAAGCUUGGCAGAGAGAUGAGGAAGAUUCAUGUCUUGGUGAUUUGGAGAGAUGAAAGUGGAGAGGGGAUUGGCUCUAAAUCUAAACGAAGACGCUGUUUGGCUCUACGACAGCAGACCCCCAAGCUUGCAGAAAACCCCAAGAGUCAACCCUUGAGUCUGUGGCAGAUUUGUGAAACUCCACAUGGGGUGAAAAUAACAAUCUUACUCAUUGGUAAACUACAUGUAUGCUGUUAAUAUAAUUUACAUAUGUAUGAAUAAAUAAUAUUACGGACAGUCCCAGCUAACUACCAGGCACUGUGCAAAGCCCCAUAUGUACCGUCUCUCACCAGGACCUCGUAAUGAUUCAUGAAUUAGCCCCAUUUCAUGGGCGGGGAAACAAGAAUUUGAAGAUGCUAAGGAGCCUCCAGGCAAUCAUAGUUGAGGGGCAGACUGUGGAUUUAGACUAGAUCUGACUGUAAGGUCUGUGCCUGGUGGAUGCCAUCCUUUACUGGAAAAAUAAGUGGGCUUCAGGAGUGUGGGGAUGAACUAGGUCACUUAGGGAAUCAGAAAUAUGUAAGACACAGUAUUGGGAAAACUUUCUAAGUGGCUGCGUGUCCCAUAAAGGCUUUAUGCUUUGGGGCUUCCCGUGGGAUAGCACGGGUCAGACCUUCUAGUACCAGUUGCAUGCUGGUACAUCCUGACUCAGCAGUUCCGAUGCAGAGAGCUACCGCGUAGGGGGCAGGAAUAAUAGUUCCCCCCCCCUCACGUAAGGCAAUGGAGUCCAAGGCCAUGGAGUGCCUGAGGUCACCCACUUGCUCCUGGGGGAGAGAAGGGCUUGACAGGUGAAUAUUACGGAUGCUUAUCCAAUACCUUUUUGUCUGUAUUGCAUGGAAAAUAACACAGAAAAUGAAAAUUAUGUGUAUUUUCCAUGUCUACGAACAGCACCAUUGUUAGUAUCUUAUUUAACGGCUGUUGGCCAUGUGUCCCCUACAUGACUGUGCACAUUCACCCACCCGGGGGCUUCUGGGGACCCUGAGAGACGCUCUAGUCAGGAAUGGACUCUCGGCUCCGCAUAGGCGGGCCAGCUUGCCUCAGCCUCUGCUGCUGCAUGGGUCCUUCUCCACCUCACGACUUCCAUCGCUCUUCCACAUUCAGAGCUUUUCUGAUGAGACAGACUUUUUAAAAAUAAACUGCCACUACACAAAAAUACGUUUACCCUAUAAUGUUCCGCAAACAAAUCUGCCUGUAAUACCACACAUUUAACGUAAGACUAACUGUGUGAACAAUUAGACUGGGCAGGAAUAAACCAAAAUGACGAUGGGUGCUCCUAGGUAUUAAGAGCGUAUAUGGGGUAGCCGCUGUAGACUUCUCCAGGCUCAACAAAGGUCCAAAAGAACACCUAUUAUUUCCAGGGCCUGAGAAGAAGACCAAGCUUAAGAUUAGAGAUGCCAAGUUUCAGUCAUGGCUGUCAUAAACAAAAAAUCAGCGCUUCUGCUCAUUUCUGGGCUGGAGACAUCAAAAUGCAAGGUCGCCCUUUGGAAAUGUGCUCAGGAGCUCAGCGGCUUUCAGUUUUUAAAGAUGAUUACCCAGGACCAUUACCUCUGAGUAUUAGCUUGUUAAUUAUCGGGAAUUAACAGUAACUAAUUAUCAUGCGUGACUAGCAAUUAGGGAGAAAUGUCAUGUGGAGACUGCAUCAGUAAUAGUACACUCUCUGCCCAAGUCAGUAAUCCAAGGACUUGCAGUGAGGUGCUUCGGGGCUGAGAGGAGGCAGGAGAGGCUACAGGUGCUCGUGGAGGUCCAGCUUCAGGACUAGAGGAAGGAGGAAUGCAGCUUAACUGGGCAAGAGUAGAAAGAAGGUGGAAGGAGAGUCACAUGCAGACACCCUGAUCUGUUUCCUGCAAGUCUGAACAAACCCCAGUAGCUCUUUGAUGAAGAAGGGUUUGGGAAAUAAGGGUUCUUCACCAGGCUUCAGAGCCAGCAGCAGAAGGUGCUCCUGUGAGCUGAUUCAGUGACUCAGUGGCAGCAUGGGCGACACCCAGCAGGAUUAGCUGGCGAUCUAAGGACAUCCCCAGUGCUUUCCUGGCCCUGCCUACUCCCAUGAUGGCAUUCUCUUUAUCUUCUGUGGUGGUUCACAGAUGUUCCAAAAUUUCU